rnacentral:lncRNA from 1 species
CACUGGGACCUCUGGCCCAGAUUUCCCUUUUCGUGACGGACAGUCACCACCCCUCUGACAGCUGUAGAGUCCUCCGGGGACACUUCAGGUUUAAUCAGUACUUCCUGCACUGGAGAGGGUCAUUUGAUUUCUAACAUAAACUAAUGGCAAUCCUGCUUACAGCAGGUUACACCAGACAUCAGAUAAGAGGCUUUAGGGCAUUUUUAUCUUGUUCUAAUGCUCGAGAGUUAAUGAGGCAGCAAAAGAUAUUGUCAUAGAGCCCCGGUGUAGCUAUAUUAUCCAAUAAACAGACUCUUUCCAAGACAGGUUUAAUAUGGAUCGAGGAGGUAAAGAAGGCUAGCUUAAUAUUGAUCCUACUGAGAGGAUGAGAAUCCAGUCACCAUAACUAGGGCAAAAUCAUGCACAUUCUGCAGUAGACAAAGUGCUACAAGAAGCAUUAAGAAAGCCUUGAAGACAGAUCUGAUCUGACAAAAUGGACACUGUCUCCACUGUUAAUUUGCAUUUUUCAAGAGCUCCAUAGCUGCAUGUUGAUGAUUCUGUCAUGCACAAAAGGUAGGGUUGAGAAACAUUAUUUCAGCUUUGCGUCUUUCUCUUUUUUUAAUUAAAAUGUACUCAGAACCUAUUAUGUGACAAGCAAAACACUUUACAUGCAUCAAGUCAUUUACCUCCAAAUCAACUCUAUAAAGUAGGUAUUUUUUUCACAUUAAAAAAAACAAAAAAAC